UUCCAAGCACUGCUACCAGCGCAUGGCCAGAAUUUCAUCCCACAGGGGCAAAGUGCCCGUGGGAGACAGGAGCACAGGGCGUAGACUGGGAUGCUCUGAGCAGCAUUUUGUCCUGUUGCUGUCACCAGCGCUUUGCUAUGGAAUAAAAUAACCCACGAGAAUAUGAGAUAAAAUGGGUGGUCUUGCUUUGUUACUGUGAGGGAGUCUGGAGCCGUACAGCAUAUUUAUGAACAGUGUAGCCUUACGCCUACUUUUAAAAGCCGUGCUGCAAGUAUUUCACCGUGCUUUUCAAAGUAGCUAUAAAACAUAGGAAAGGCUUAGGGGAAAAAAGAUUCUGCUCCCACAGUAAAUCAAAAGCGAGCAGACAAAGGUCAAAAUACCAAAAGCCACAAGAACAUUAACACUUAGGAUAUAAAGAUUUCCUAAGAAACUAAUGCUUGCUCUUUCCCCAGAUAACGCAGACACCUUAUCUUUGGGAGUUUACAAAAUGGAGCCAAGCUAUACAAGUAACCACUUAACUGAACCGAGGCCUGGAUCUUUUAGCAGUCUGCAGUCAUUAAAGCUCUCAGAAAGUCUCCCAGGAGCCAAUGUGCUUGCUUAAGUAUAUGCUGUAAAAGGUCCCUGAGAUUUACAAGGAACUGCUCCAUGCUAAGCUAGGCACCAUCUGAUAAACAAGCAAUUUUAGCUCCAGGCUAAAUGAUGCUCUUUGAGGCUUUGAUUUACAAGGCUGCCAAUGAUAUAUUUGUAGUUCUAGGGUAGGUUCUGCUGUGGACCUGCUGUGAUUACUCAUCCAUGAACCAAGUUAGGGCUCAGAUCUUCAACCAAGAGGUCAGAAAAUUGUCAGCGGAGUAAGAAAUGUUUGAUAAGGUUUAUUUAGAUGCUAACAGCAUUAAAAAAAAUAAAUUAGGCAAACAGUGGUGAACAAUUCUUAAGCUUUCUAGGGACCAAUUUUUUUUUCCUUUUUUUCUUUUUCUUUUUCUUUUUAAUACUAAUUUAAAAUGUAUUUUGAGUCAAAAAGAUAUGAGAGUAAGUCCAAAAUUGACUUUCUUGACUGAUUUUACUUUCAUUAGGUGAUCUUUUGGAAAGAAGAGUACACUGAGUUGAACAUCUUGAAAUAGAAAGUACUAACUUAGAGUCUAUGAAAUUUCUCAGUCCUGUUAUACUUCUCCCAGCAUCUAAAAAACAGCCUGGAAACAAACAAUAUGAGAGAAUUCAUAUAAACGUAAGAAAUUUAGAUUAAAAACACAAACAGGCUCAGGGGAAGGAGGGCAGAACCCAGCAUUUCAGGAAUGUGUUGCUUUCAUCGUUCUUUCACCGCUCCAAGAUCCGCGGGCCCAAACCUGCACACUGCUGAGCACCUCCUGAGAAGUGAGAGGACCUCUGUGGGAUCUGAUUAUCUAAACUGGACAUGAAUGUCUGAAUUCAGAAGUGGAACCUGUGAGAGAGCCACUGCCAGGAGUGACUCGGUGUAAGAGAUCACAGAUGGUUGUCUGUGGCAUUUCUGAGGCGAAGACCUCGAAUGUUUGAACAGCUCCUUGCCCCAGCCUGUUCCACCGAUGACCACCCGACCCCACAUUUGUGUAUUGGUUUCCCUGUCCAGUCUCAGGGUGUCGGACUGACAAACCCAAAGCAGGUUGUCUCCACCCCACUCUGCUCCUGGGGUUUUUCUCACCCCUGGAGGUGAACUUCGAGAUGCUCUGGCCUUGUCCUGGCUGUCAAGGUCAGAUGAAUGUGGAAUCUGAAUCCUCAUGAAUAUCAUUAUGCCCCAGAAUUUUCCCAAAUUCCAAAUGCUGGGACCUUUUCCAGUCCUUUGCAAGGCUACUCAUCUCGAAAAAUAAAAUAAAUUGGUAAAUCUCCAUUCCAAUUCCGGAAGAUAGAAUCUAGGCAGCUCACAAAAAUGUGAAAAUAUGCAAAGUAAACAGAUUGUUUCUGACAGUAACAACCCUGCGAUUGCAUAAAGCAUCAUCAAAUUGCAACAUGCACGUAUUAAGCUUUGAGAACAACUGAAUUCACAGUGACACAUUCUCUGCUCUUGAAUUCAUUAUCACACAUGCUCAGCUCGGAGAUUUGCAGUAUUGCACCUUGUUCUCGAAGGUGGUCUCCAAAGGAGCUCUCUAUUAUCAAGGUAAUCUCAUUUAGGUUCAAUUUUCUCAAGUUCUUUGUGAGUUGUAGGGAGAAUUGUAGCAAGGGUGGGGCAAAAGGGUGCCAAAUAGAGAUAAGUGCAUUCAAGCCCUUCUUUUGGUUCCGCCACCUGGAAGAUACCCAGAGCAAAUCUGUAAGAGGUACUGGAAGGAGCUGGUGAAAGGCUGAAAGGAGGUGUACUGCAGUGCCCUGACACCCUGCCAUGGUCAGCUGGGCUGAUCCACAUGCACUAUUCCCUUUGUGAUGGAUACUUUAUUAAGUAGAAAUUCUUAGGGAAAACAAAGCAAAACAAAACCAAACCAAAUCAUCUCAUUCACUGUGCAAAUGGUAAUAACAACUCGCCAGAAAACAGUAAAAAGACAGAGAUAAGUACUUACAGACAUUAAAGCUGGGCUGUCAUCCCCCCUAAUAAACACCCUAAUAAAUUUUCAUUCAAAUACAAGUAAGUACAUAUGCUAUGACAACGACACAGUCUUGUCUCUGGCCGUUCUGCUGGGGAUUCCUUAGAUCAACAUGCUAAUGGACACUCUUAUAGGCAUUUUUAAUAGUCUAAUAUAUUAUCAGGAUGUAGAAUUUUCAAGUAUUUUUAAUUGAUGUGGCUUCUGUUAGUUCUACUGGACAGUCUAUUAAAGUAUUUUUCCACUUAUUCUAAGAAAAUAUAUACAUGCAGAUGUGCAUUUUGUGCUGGUCAUUAGACACCAUUAAUGCAUAUAUAAAUAGUUUUUUAUGGUUGUCUUUUCCAGAAGUAGUUAUUUUUGUUGUGUUUAGAAUCUGAGAGCUCUCUUGUAAUAAUAUUUAUUUGAGGUCAGAAUAAAGGUUACGCUGUGAUAGAACACAUUCUCUAUAAAACGCACAUGCUAAAGCAGUACACAAUUUAUUAUCUAUUUACAUUCGUUUCCUUGAUUUUAUAGAAUUGAUAUUUGAAGAUGAGAAAGUUGAUGCUCUAUUUAUUAAAAGUAAUUUGAGCUGCUAAA